rnacentral:rRNA from 1 species
GACGAAGGAUGCAAGCGUUAUCCGGAUUCAUUGGGUUUAAAGAGAGCGUAGGCGGCCCUGUAAGUCAGUGGUGAAAUCUUUGGGCUUAACCCAAAAAUUGCCAUUGAUACUGCAGGGCUUGAGUACAGUUGCCGUUGGCGGAAUAUGACAUGUAGUGGUGAAAUACAUAGAGAUGUCAUAGAACACCGAUUGCGAAGGCAGCUAACGAAACUGUAACUGACGCUGAGGCUCGAAAGUGCGGGGAUCAAACAGG